rnacentral:rRNA from 1 species
UAUGGCUCAGAACGAACGCUGGCGGCAUGGAUUAGGCAUGCAAGUCGAACGAAGCAGCAAUGCUUAGUGGCGCAAGGGUGAGGAACACGUGAGUGACCUACCCGCAAGUUUGGAACAGCUCCUGGAAACGGGAAUUAAUACCGGAUGUGAUCGAUGAACUGCAUGGUUUAUUGAUUAAGCAGCAAUGCGCUUGCGGAUGGGCUCGCGUCCCAUUAGCUAGUUGGUGAGGUAACGGCCCACCAAGGCCAUGAUGGGUAGCUGGUCUGAGAGGACGACCAGCCACACUGGGACUGAGAACUGCCCAGACUCCUACGGGAGGCUGCAGUCGAGAAUUUUGGGCAAUGGACGAAAGUCUGACCCAGCAAUGCCGCGUGCGGGAUGAAGGUCUUCGGAUUGUAAACCGCUGUUUGGAGGGACGAAAAUUGACGGUACUUCCAGAGGAAGCCACGGCUAACUACGUGCCAGCCGCCGC